GGCCUAUUGAAUAUAAUUUUAGGUCGAUCUGCCCAAUGAUUUUUAAUUUAAUGGCUGCGGUAUUUUGACUGUACAAAGGUAGCAUAAUCAAUUGUUUUUUAAUUGGAAACUGGAAUGAAAGAAUUAAUGAGAUAUAUACUGUCUCAUAUAUAAUAAAUGAAUUUAAAUUUUUAGUUAAAAUGCUUAAAUUAUUUUAUGGGACGAUAAGACCCUAUAGAAUUUUAUAUUAAUAUAAAUAGUUAUGUUUAUAAAAUUUUUGUAUUAAUAUUUAAUUGGGAGGAUUAGUAAAUUUAAAAAACUUUACUUUGAAUUUAAACUUUGAUUUAAGAAUUUUUUUUGAUCUUGUAUUAUGAAAAUAAGAAUAAAUUACCUUAGGGAUAACAGCGUAAUAUCUUUUUAAAGGUCAUAUUAAUAAAGAUGAUUGCGACCUCGAUGUUGAAUUAAGAUAAAUUUUAGACGGAGAAGUCUAAAAAUUAAGUCUGUUCGACUUUUAAAAUCUUACAUGAUUUGAGUUCAAAUCGACGUGAGU
rnacentral:rRNA from 1 species